rnacentral:lncRNA from 1 species
UGUGUGUGUGUGUGUGUAUAUAUGUAUAUAUAUAAGGGNGUCCCAAGUAUAUACUGGGACGGGACGGGAUGCAGGGUGUCCUAUGUCCCAUGAGAUUUAAAACUUUGAUUUGAUAAAUCAUAAUAUAAGAAUGACAAAGGGAAUAGAUGAUAUGUUAUCAACUUUUCAUCAACAUAACUUCAACUAGCUCUGCACGUCAACCAUGUUGAUGAGAAUUUGCAAGCCACAUGAGCGGUCCCCUUAGCAUGUUUCUUUUUUGGAUUUUGCUAACAUUUUGCUCUCUUAUACAUAAAGAGAGAGAAAGAGAGAGAGAUGAUAGAGGUA